UCCCGGGCUUCAAUCUUUCAUUUCAGAGAACGCGGCUUCCGGCGUUCACCCCACAACGGUCUCUCUCUUCCUCUCUCAUGGCUUCGCCCAGAAUUCUACUAUGCGGGGACGUUUUAGGCCGUCUCAACCAGCUCUUCAAGCGAGUCAACUCUGUAAACAAAUCAGCGGGUCCUUUCGAUGCUCUUUUUUGCGUGGGUCAGUUCUUCCCCGAUGAACCAGAUCGGCUUGAUGAAUUAAUGGACUACGUUGAAGGCAGGGCCCAAGUUCCUCUCCCGACUUACUUCAUUGGCGAUUACGGAGUUGGUGCACCCAAGGUUUUGUCGGCUGUUUCGAGGAAUUCCGCUAACCAAGGUUUCAAAAUGGACGGUUUCAAGGUUUGCGACAAUUUGUUUUGGUUAAAAGGCAGCGGGAUGUUCACUUUCCAUGGUUUGUCUGUGGCUUACUUAUCCGGUAGGCAGUUGUCUAAUGGUCAACAGUUUGGAACAUAUAGUCAAAUUGACAUUGACACGCUACGAGCAUUCGCUGAGGAACCUGGAAUAGUUGAUUUCUUUUUAAGUAAUGAAUGGCCAAGUGGUAUCACAAAUAGAGCCACUGCAUCAGAUAUCCCUGCAGGAAUCUCAGAUUCUUCUGGCGGUGAUUCCACUGUCUCCCAACUAGUUGCAGAGAUCAAACCACGCUAUCACAUUGCAGGUACUAAGGGUGCAUAUUAUGCUCGUGAACCUUAUUGUAAUGUUGAUGCUGUACAUGUAACUCGGUUCUUGGGUCUUGCAUCUGUUGGGAAUAAAGAGAAACAGAAAUUUCUUCACGCGCUUUCUCCAACUCCAUCAUCUACCAUGGCAGCUGCUGAGAUCAGUGCAAAGCCACCAAAUACUACCUUAUCGCCGUAUACAUUAGUUGACCAAGUGGAUCGUCCUAAAGAAACCACAAAGAGGGCUAGUGAUAUUGAACUUGAUUCACAAUACUGGAGAUAUGAUGUGUCGAGCAAACGACAAAAGCAUGGGAAUGGUGAUACUAAUAAGGUGUGUUUUAAAUUUAUAUCCUCUGGAACUUGUCCACGUGGAGAAAAGUGCAACUUCCCACAUGAUGCUGAUGCAAGGGAACAAUUUUUGAGAGGUGUUUGUCUUGACUUUAUUAUCAAAGGAAAGUGUGAAAAAGGCCCUGAUUGCAACUUUAAGCACAGUUUACAGGAUGAUGGUGAGAAUCAUUCUCGUAAAAGACCAGGAUCUAGCAAUGCUAAUGCUAACAGAUCAAAAGAGUGCUGGUUUUGUUUGUCAAGCCCAAAUGUGGAGUCACAUCUGGUAACAAGUAUAGGAGAGAAUUUCUACUGUGCACUAGCGAAAGGCCCACUUGUCCAAGAUCAUGUACUGAUAAUUCCAGUUGAGCAUAUGCCAAAUACUCUUUCUCUACCAGCAGAUAGUGAAAUUGAACUUGGCAAAUUCCAGAACAGUCUGAAGGUGUAUUAUAAAAACCAGGGUAAAGAAGCAGUGUUCUUUGAAUGGAUAUCAAUACGUGGCACCCAUGCCAACCUUCAGGCUGUACCUGUUCCAUCAUCCAAAGCAGCUAUUCUUAAAGACAUUUUUACUUUGGCAGCUGAAAAGUUGGGUUUUGAAUUUGUUACAAAAAAAUUCAGCAAUAAUUCCGAGGGGAGAAAAUGGUUGAGGACACAGUUUGAUAAGAAUUUUAGCUGCUUCUAUGUGGAACUGCCUGAAGGUUCAAUCCUAUUACAUUUAAUUGAAGAGAAUGAGAAGUUUCCUGCCCAAUUUGGUCGUGAGGAAACAGAGAAUAAAGAAGGUAGUGAUGAGAAGCUUUCUAUUGGGGGAAAACAAAAAACCAUUUCCCUUAUCUAGGGAGUUCUUGUCAAUGAGAUGGGUGUUCAUGCUUCAGUUGACAUCCAUAUAGGAAGUGGGGCUGUGUUAUAUCUUGGAACUCGCACCAUAAAACCUAAAAUUGUUUUGCGGAAAGGUUGUGGCUGGCCUAUUGAACGUGGCUGAUAGGGCUGAUUGGAGGAAUUGUACAAUUGGCAAAGUUGAGGAAACAAAACUGGCUGAAAAUUUCAAAAAACGGUUUCAAGUAUUUGAUCCAAGUCAAUGAUUUUUCGAAAGAAAGGAACAAGCCUGUUGUCAUAAAAAUGUGCAUCAUUAGGAAGUUCCUAAUGAAUGAGCUUGGAAAGAUGUUGAACCCCUGGUGUGGUUUGGUUCAGGGCAUCUUCACAGUCCCACUUGGAAUCUCUGGCUAAGUUGCAGAUGAGGAAGAUAUUAAACCUUUCCUCAUCACUAAUUUUGUUUUGGUUCAAAUCUCCUUUUAUGAGUCAAAAUUUCAUCAAAAACUUGUUUCCAUUGUCUGUAUAACGAACGCCCUUCUAAUUGCCUCUUAUAUGUAUGAGAUAUGUUUUGUCUUUUUAAAACCGAUGAAUUGGACAUUACGGCUCAUUGGCUAUGGUUGCUAAUUUUAUGUACUCUUUGAUCA